CUUCUAACUAUGUAAGUUCAUUUCCAUUCUUUAAGGAACAUUGGAUUAUUGGGACUAAAGUUGCAACAUAUUCUUCCAGGGAUAUGUUGCUAUUUCAAAUGUGACAUCUUAUCGGAAAGGAGAGAAUUCUCACUCUAAAAAAACCUAAUAUAACCCAUGCAAGUUUGUAAUGCAGUCCCUUUUAUUUACUUAAAAAAAAUCUGGAUAACAACCUUUUUUUUCCAUGCCGUACUCUAACCCUCCCAAAGAAGAUAAAUAUUUCAAAUAAUUGGAUUGGGAUACUUCACAGAGAGAUGGACCAUAAUCAGGCAACAGACUUCUGGUCAAUAAUCACAAAAUACUUCUGGAGUUCAAGAUUCCUACUUUUAAUGCUAAUGUUCUCCGGUUGACUAAUGAGCAGUUGGUAAACAAAUCACUGAGACAAUUUUGAAAUGUUAUUAUUUUCAGAUGGAUGUCAUCCACAUUGCUCUUUCUUCACCAUCAAUAUAACAAGUUCAAAAGUGACAUUUAGAAUUUCAUGAGAAUUCUAAAGAGGAAACCAAAGAUUAGACAUCAGACUAUGAAGAAAAGAAAUUAC
rnacentral:lncRNA from 1 species